rnacentral:snoRNA from 1 species
CGCUUCCCGAUCCCCAUCCAGCCCCACAAGAGCCUGUGAUAUUUUCCUUAUAUGAUCGGGCCUGCUUGCCCGGGGCCUGAGAGGAUUAUGAGACAAGUUAGGCGAUUUGGGGCCAGUGAAUGGCGCG